rnacentral:rRNA from 1 species
UACGUAGGGUGCGAGCGUUAAUCGGAAUUACUGGGCGUAAAGCGUGCGCAGGCGGUUUUGUAAGACAGCUGUGAAAUCCCCGGGCUUAACCUGGGAACUGCGGUUGUGACUGCAAGACUGGAGUCAGGCAGAGGGGGGUGGAAUUCCACGUGUAGCAGUGAAAUGCGUAGAGAUGUGGAGGAACACCGAUGGCGAAGGCAGCCCCCUGGGCUAUGACUGACGCUCAUGCACGAAAGCGUGGGGAGCAAACAGG